CUCUAGAGCCCACACCCCUAAUCACUUACAAAAGUCUCCUCCUAACAAAUCAUACUGCUAACUGCUCUCAUUUUGAAUCACUCACUAAACCCCUCAGACCACAUGGCCCCUUCAAAACCCAAGACAUAUGGAUUAUAAUCCCAUUUGCAAAGAAGGCUGAGGCUCAGAGGGAUGCUGUGGGGUGUCCCAGGACACACUUCCAGGAAAGACCGGAGGACAAACCAGCCUCAGCGGAGAGGUGCAGUGGCAGUACUACCCUUUUGCAUCGGGCACAGCGGAGGUGCUCAGCUGUCUAGGCUGGCUCAAUGGACCCCACGCCCUAGUCCCAGCUCUGCUAGCUCGUCUCACCUCACCUGCUGGUGUACUGUCCUGUGUACCGCCUCCCCACUAGACUACAGGCUCCAUGAAGGCAGAGAACUGUCCACGACCGAGAAUUCUGUCCAUCCUCCUGCAUCCCAGCACCAGGAACAGGGCCUCACGCAUGCAAUUGCUUGUGGAAGGAGCAGCCCGCAGAACACAAGGCCUCUCACCCUCUGCUCACCUACAGCUUCCAGACCCAGGCCCUCCUCUCAAGGGUGGAUCUAGGGACCAGGAUAAGGAUGGAAGAGAAGAAAGACACAUAAGACCCCAAAUAUGGGUCUCUCGCUGCCACCACUGCCCUCCCCGCAGGACUUCUGUCUCCAGCAGAGCCCUGCUCUACGGACUUAAAACCACUGCCAUCCUGUGGCACCUGACUUCAGUCUUCUGAGCUCAAGGAAAAGAUUACCUACUAGUUGAGACAUGUGGGGUGGAAAAGGGAAAAAAAGAGAAUGGCAGUGGGAUGGAGUGAGGGAAGAUAGCAUGGGAUCCCUGCAUGCUAGGCACCUGGCUUUUGUUCUCUCACAGAGACCCUCUGAGUAGUUAGCAAGGUGUCCAUUUCACAGAGGAGGACACGGGUUCAAAAAUACUCCUAAUUUGCUCAAAGCCAAGACUGGGAGACACACGGGUAACAGUCAUUUCUCAUCAGCCUGAGUGCUGCUGGUGGCCAGUGGCACAGAGGACCACCACACACCCUCUUGGAGAGACCCCACCCUGACGCUGUGAAGCUAUAUGCUGACACCCCACACCCAAGGCGUGGAGAGCCAGCACUGCCUCUGGGGUCUGAUUGAGCCUCGAACGCUUUCUCUUUCCAUUCCACUGGUCUGCUGUCGUGGGGCAGAGAUUUGUGCUUCAUUGAUAUUCUUGGUUCCCUUCAUUGUGUGUGUCUCAGGUACAGAGCUGUCUUUGGCACAAGGCUAAAAUAAGCCAACAGCUCGGCCGUGGCCAAGGGCUGGGAUGCGCACUGUAAUAAUUAUCCAGGACUUGUGCUCACCACAUGCUGCCCUGAAGCUCACCUGUCAUUUCUUCUAAUUAUGGCACUGCCAGACCCCAGGUAAACAGUAAACGGCAGCCAGAAGAUGGCUUUAUUGCACACCCGCUAGGAGCACAGCAAUGUCCCAGAGCCACAUAUGCCUGCCGUCUGGAGUUGAUGGCAUCGGAACUGCCUGUGGGGGUGGCCGGCAAGCUACCCACUCAGAACCCAACUCCAACAGAAGUGCCAGGAAGCUCCAGAUGCCUUCCCUAAUAGGAGUCCCGUUAUGUUAGAGGUCUCCCUCAGAUACCUCAGUGCUUAGGAGCGACCACACAUGUCUCUCAUCCUGACCUUACCCCCUGGGUAAGGCAUGUAUAUCAUCAUACUCCCAGCACUAUAAGGCAGUGCCCGCCACCUCCCCUCCCCCAGCAAUCCUAACUUGGCAGGUCUGGGCUAGGGCCAGGAUCUAAGAAAACUGAUGUACAGUCCACAGACCACAGACCACACUCAGAGAAAUGCUGGUCUAAGGAAGAUGAUGGACUGUAGAACAGAGGGGGUGAGAGCUUGCCCAACGUCACACAGGCUACCUAAGCCAGUCCUUACUCUAAUCAUUCAACCCACAUCUGCAUCUCAUCCCUGCCAUUUCUAGGUUGUGACACUCUCAGCAAACUACUUACUCCCUGGGCCUCACCUGGCAAAUAGGAGUAAUAAUACUAUUCCAUAUGAUUACUAUGAAGAUUAAAUCAUGGAUACUAGAUGCUUAGCACAGUGCCUGGGAUGCUGAUGGUGCUCAGUACACAUUUGGAUGUGGUAGCCAGCCUCUGUGGCCAUCUUCUGGGGUUUGCACUUUGUGUUGUCUGCUCCCAAACUAUACUAUAUCAGGACCGUGUUACUAAAAGAACAUAGUAGACAUGGAGAUAUGUCACUUCCAAAAUCAGGUGAUAAGACAAUAUGCUUUCCAUCUUGGUGCCUCUUUCUCUGAUCACUUACUCUGGGGGAAGCCAGCUGUCAUAUUGUAGGCAGCCCUAUGGGAAGGCCCAUGUGGCAAGGAACUAAAACCUCCUGCUAACAGCCAUGUGCAUAAGCUUAGAAGUGGACUCUCUGGCCCAGUCAAGCCUUCUGAUGAGUACAGCCCCAGCAGAUAGCUUGACUGACACUUUAUGGGAUCUCUGAGCCAGAACUACCCAGCUAAGCCACUCCCCAAAUUCUUUUUUUUUUUUUUUUUUUUAAGUAAGCAGUACACCCAAUGUGGGCUUGAAUUCACAACCCUGAGGUCAAGAGUCAUAUGCUCCACUGACUGAGCCAGCCAUACUCCCACUCCAAAUUCUUGACCCUCAGAAACUGUAUGAGAGAUUUGUCGUGUUAAGUUGCUAGGUUUUGGGGCACUCUGUUAUGCAGCAAUAGCUUACUGAUACAGUGAAAUAAACAAAUGGAAAAACUAAAUCACCUUAAAAUAUGUGAUGGUCACAGAUCCAUAGUGCCCCAUAUCCCAAAAUACUCCUGAGUUGAGUCAAAAGAGCCGUCCAACACAGGCAUAACUUUUGAGUUCAAUGGUUCCCUUCAGCUAUUUAUUCACUAGCCGAACAUUUGCUGAACACUUCCUCUCUGCCAGAUGGGUUCACACCUCAUGACACAAAGUCUCUACUCUCAUCAAGAAGGGGCACUGAAUAUAUGCUGGGAUGGCUGACAGAUGUGCCCCUAGUAAAAAUACUAGGUGAUAAGCUGUGUGCCAGAGAGCACCAAGGAGAGGCACCUACAUCCAAUAGGAAUUCCUCCAAGGAAAUGAUCAGAGAUGACCUCAAAGACCUAGGUACUAAGGUGGUCAGUGCAAUGUAGCUCGUCCUAAAACUGAAAUCUAAAUGUCCAACAGUAAGAACAGUUGACAGUUAAACAUUGCCCAUUACAUAUAGGCAGGCUGCUCAGUUUCCCCUACAGGGUAGGAGUGAGGGGUUCAAUGACAUGACUCACAAAGCCCAUUAUCCUCAUCUUAUCCUAAAACGACUGGACAGAAGGAGCCCACAGUUUGCAAGGAUCAAGAGUAAGGCAUGAGCCACAUCUGUGCAAUGCACUACCACAUAGCCAUUAAAAAUCAAGUCAAAGGAGAGGUGCUUUGGUGGUUCAGUCGGUUGAAUGUCCAACUCUUGGUUUUGACUCAGGUCAUGAUCUCAGGAUUAUAGAAUCAAGCUC